rnacentral:rRNA from 1 species
AGGACGAACGCUGGCGGCGUGCUUAACACAUGCAAGUCGAACGGUAAGGCCCCUUCGGGGGUACACGAGUGGCGAACGGGUGAGUAACACGUGAGCAACCUGCCCCUGACUUUGGAAUAACAGUUGGAAACAGCUGCUAAUACCGGAUAGGACUUGACCUCGCAUGGGGUUGGGUUGAAAGUUCCGGCGGUCAGGGAUGGGCUCGCGGCCUAUCAGCUAGUUGGUGAGGUAAUGGCUCACCAAGGCUUCGACGGGU